ensembl:rRNA 5S_rRNA 5S ribosomal RNA
GUCAAUGCUCAUACCACCUGGAAUAUGUCCACUCUCGUCUGAUCUUAGAAGUUAGGCAGAGUCAGGCCUGGUUAAUGCUUGGACAGGAGAAAUGUUGAUU